GCACCUGAAGUUCUUGAUGUGUUCUUCCACCGCAGAUAAAGUCAGAGCAUUGUUCACAGCGUUUAUGAAGGUCACGGCUUGAGUGGACGAACCCCAGUUCACAUCUGAGAGAAGCAGGAGGAUCAGGAGUGAUUUACGCAGACGGUCUGACUGUGACUCAAAGGACUUGGAUGCUUCGGAUGCCCAGAGAAGAUCAUUUAAAGGGUGUGACUCACCUUCUGGAAGACAUCGUGCAGCUCUUGUAGGGAAGGUCUGAUGGCUCUGUGUCCGCUGAUGCUCGCCGCAUUACGAUAAAAGUCAACGUUUGGCACCCGGUCCAAGGUGUUGUGCCCAAA